rnacentral:lncRNA from 1 species
CCUGCAACCUGCAGCAUAUGGAAGGUCCCCGGCUAAGGGGUCGAUUCGGAGCUGCAGCUGUCAGCCUAUGCCACAGCCAUGGCAAUGCCAGAUCUGAGCCACGCCUGUGACCUACGCAGCAGCUUGUGACAACGCCAGAUCCUUAACCCAACAACAGAGGCCAGGGAUCAAACCCACAGCCUCACAGAGACAACAUCAGGUCCUCAACCUGCCGAGCCACAUUUCCCACUGCAGCUCAUGCCUGUUCCCUGUAGCAAGCUGUAUGCCUCCUACUGUAUACCAAACAGUUCUUCAGAGAUAUCUGCCUUUAACCAUUCAUUCUCAGAUAAUUGCACCUGAAAUAGGCCAGAUCACUAAAUGAACCAGAAAGGGAGGUACCAUCAACCAAGCAGCAGCUGAAUUUUGAAGAAGAGCAAACCUAGACAGGUUUAGCCCACUAGCCCAAGGCGGUCUUCUAACUCAAAGCAGAAAAAACCCAUAGUGCUUUGAAAAGAAAUAACAAAAAGCACGUCUGCUUGCCUCAGGUCAGGUCUAAGACUACUGAGGCCACAAAUUUGAUGGCAUCCACAACAAGGAGCCUCCAAGUGAUCCCUGAGAAAAGCUGAGACACAAAAUUUCAAGCCUGCCUGCCCCAGCCAAUAAUGAGCGACCACACAGAAUCAGGAGGAUCAAUGAAGCUGGUUUCCCCUCUCUCCUGCUGCGGUUUGUGUCAGGAUGGGGUGCUGAAAUCACUGCGGGCAGCCUGUCUGCCAGGACUCGGAGGGUGUGCUGACUUCAUUCCACCUCCUCCGCGAGGAACUUGGAGUCCUGCUGCUGGACGCUGCAGACCUGUCGGAGAGGAGAUUUGAAAGGAGAGGACCCCACCAACCCAGGGAUGGGCCAUCUUGGGGGCAAUGCCGUCCAAUCACACGUGGGACUGUGAAUGCGACCUGUGCAGGAAGGGGACCAGAAAGGGACAAGAAGACAGCCGAGGAACACGGGCACGGAGAACAAGCGACGGAACGAGCCGAUGAUGCACAGCGAGGCGACCCAUGGGAGAAUCACGGCUGUCCCUUGCUCGUGUGCCUUCGCACACCUCCCUGAGAAGAGCCUGACUUCUUCACUGCAUGUGACCGGGGUCUCAGCACUGAGACCUUCUUCUUGAGGACUACAGAGGGUCAGGGAACAUCUGACCACGUUCCUGGACACAGACACUCUGAUUUGUUAUUUGUUUUCCAAGGCUGUACUGAUGUCCCCCCACACACACAUUUACACUCUGCAGGUUCAGGUCUUUCUAAGCAGACAGGGUAAAAACAAGCUACAGGAAAUAACAUGAACCCAAGAUACUGCUCCAGAGAGAAAGACCAAAGCUAAUUUCAUUUAAAAGGGCACAGAUGGGAGCGUGAAGGCCCAAAGGAACAGCUUAGGUGAGAUUAUAUCUUCUCCUGCCAGGGUCUGCAUUCGCCUCCAUACUCUGGACAUACACAUGCGGCAUGGGAUCCCACUGAGGGCAAACGGCAGGUGGAAUACACUCGGGGAAAGUCAGAGGCGUCCAACUGGGCUCCAGGAAGCCCUUCGGAUCUGGGGUGGGGCACGCAUGUGGAAGGGAGGGUGGGGCACGGGAAUCCGGCCCGACCACGCUGCAUACUGAACGGUGGUUUUCCAUCGGGGGCUUCGCGAAGAAAAAAACAAGUACUUCAACAUCUAACCUACUGCAACCAUCUCACUUCCUCAGCAAACACGGAGAGCAGAAGACAGGGUAAGGGGUUGGCCCAGGACGGUCCGUUUCAGGCCUGGGGACCAGCUGGCACUUCGCACAGCAUUUCCACGGAGGGACAGCGCAUCACGGAGUCACUCAAGCCGGGGAAGC